AUUGUUGUGAGUUUGUAUAUGAGAAGUGUUCAAGGUCCUUCGAACUGACUCUUGUGUUGAAUUCUGUGAGAAUCCACCUUUCUUCAGCCUCAGGCCUGUCAGGGGAUGAAGAACUGAAGGUGAAGACUCUGUGGCUGUGUGGCCCUGCAGCCAUCAGCAACCAGUGCACAGACCAGACACCAACUAUUGCCAAGAAAAUGGAAAGGAUGGAUCUGAGUCUGCUCCCUGCAUUGACUGAAUUUCUGCAUUUUUGAUGAAUUACUGCCUUGCCAGCUGCUACCUGAGAAAAGUGGCUGCACGUGCCUGAGGUGAUCAGCCUUUCCUGGUGUCUUUAUGGAAACACCAUGCCUUGUAAAUUGGAUUUCAUGUGUGGUAAAGGUGAGGUGAAGAUACAUCCUCCACUGCUGUACCAGCCCACAGAUCCCCCGUUCCUUGGGGACAAUGAGGUUGAGGUGUAUUUUCAUCUAUCAGAAAUGGGAAAACAAAGCAGCUCAGCUCAUGGAACCUGAACUGAGGUAAGCUUGAACUUUUAUUUUAUACAAUCCUUGUUAGUUGUUGUGCUCUUCUGCGUUCA
rnacentral:lncRNA from 1 species